GGACUUUUAAACAGGUAACAUUUGAUAUUAAAUGACACUUUUUGACAAGUCUUUAACAACCAGAAUAGUGUUGAAAAGUUAUAUAAAUAUAGCUGCAAACAAUUUCAUUAUCGGAUCACGUUAGAAGUUUUCUUUGAAACAGUUGUCGCCUACAAACAGCAGACGACAAUGUUGAUGUUAUUAUGCAUAAUAGCAACUGUAAUACCGUUCAGUCUUGUUGAAGGCCGCAAAGGAUGCUGGGCGGACCCAACACCGCCAGGGAAGGAAUGCUUGUAUGGUAAAGAAAUACACGGCGGAAGAAACCUCGGCAUACACUAUAUCUUCACCUCAAAGUUCACCCGGAUAUGUUGUCAGGCAUUAGAAUGUCAGUACUGGGGACCGUGUUCAUUCAAGGACGUAUGGUGCGGACAAAGUGUGAGCGGGGUUCCAAUUAAAGCUAACGUAUUGCUUUGGGGACAAAGGGAUGUUGAACCCAUCAUGAGGUGUUAUGAUUCACGUGGAGCCGGUGCCUAUUACAGCUUCACAGUCCAGGUUGUUCCCAUUGAAGAUCGUUAAGGAAACUCUUUCUGACACCUGAACAUGAAAAGUAUUUCAUUGUUGAAAGAAUAUAAGAAGUUUCUUUCACACUUUCUACCCUUUUCUAAACUUUUAAAAUCUGACAUUUUUUAAAAUUUCAAACAGAAUGUAUAUUGAAUUAACAUUCUAUGAUAAUAAAGGUAACGGAAAUAUGA